rnacentral:rRNA from 1 species
UACGUAGGGUCCGAGCGUUGUCCGGAAUUAUUGGGCGUAAAGGGCUCGUAGGCGGUUUGUCGCGUCGGGAGUGAAAACUCAGGGCUCAACCCUGAGCGUGCUUCCGAUACGGGCAGACUAGAGGUAUGCAGGGGAGAACGGAAUUCCUGGUGUAGCGGUGGAAUGCGCAGAUAUCAGGAGGAACACCGGUGGCGAAGGCGGUUCUCUGGGCAUUACCUGACGCUGAGGAGCGAAAGCAUGGGGAGCGAACAGGAUUAGAAACCCCCGUAGUCC